GGUUUGUACACAUUUCUCAGCUUUAAUGUUUUACAGCUGUAUACUCUUACAAAACUUUCACCAGAAAGUAUGCCAUACACUCCUGCGAUUUCGGCGAGUAACUCUAUUACCCUCCAUAUCUUGCACAAAUCUGAGCUGCUACACAUAUGUGGCCUAACAUCUGACCCUUAAUUUCAAAUUACCGUCCUUUUAUCCUUGGAUUUGAUUAUAGGGAUUGAUCAUAAUGUUUAUCCUCAUUUUACUCUGAUUUCAUCUCCAUUUUGUCUGCUGCUCAUUUUCUGGGUGGAGGGGGAACAAAGCUUCAUUUUAUAUUUUUUUCCAUCCAUACAAUAUCAAGCUUUUUAUGAAGCCUGUUAAUGAUGGUUUCAAAGGUGAUUCCAAGAAGAGAAGAAAAGAGCCCAUGUUUGAACUAUUACCAAGGGUGCAACUCUUUUGCAUGAAAAGGGUGCGAAGGAAGUCUACGCGUGUUGCACCGCUUGCACGCAUGCUGUUUUCAGGAAAGGAGUUGACUUGACUUGGUUUAUGCUCCUGUUCUCUCACAGAAGUAAAUAAACUGAAUAGAAAAUUGCACGAGGUCUAUAAUUCCUAGGAAGCAUUUGCAUGGUUCAGUGUUACUGCAAUCUCUCUGCAGCACUUUCUGAGAACAUGGAGGUGCAUAACGACAUGUGGAUCUCUGGGUCUUGGCUAAUUGUUUUAUACAUGUAGUGCUCUGCAUUUGAUUGUAAAGCAUCCAUACUAAUUUGUGUUGAGUGAUAAUGCUCAAGCAGUUCAUCUCAAUAUAGUCAAUUAACUUGCUUAAAUUUGCAUACAGUUUCUUGAUCUGAAAUGGAGCAUCUACUGCCUAAUAUUAGCUUCAUAUUCA